UACGAAGGGGGGCUAGCGUUGUUCGGAAUUACUGGGCGUAAAGGGCGCGUAGGCGGUGCCUCAAGUCAGGCGUGAAAGCCCCGGGUCAACCUGGGAACCGCGCUUGAGACUGGAGUACUAGAGUUCGGGAGAGGAUGGUGGAAUUCCCAGUGUAGAGGUGAAAUUCGUAGAUAUUGGGAAGAACACCGAUGGCGAAAGGGCAGCCAAUCUGGAACC
rnacentral:rRNA from 1 species